UCCGUAGGUGGAUAAUUAAGUCAGGGGUGAAAGUCUGCAGCUCAACUGUAGAAUUGCCUUUGAUACUGGUUAUCUUGAAUUAUUAUGAAGUAGUUAGAAUAUGUAGUGUAGCGGUGAAUGCAUAGAUAUUACAUAGAAUACCAAUUGCGAAGGCAGAUUACUAAUAAUAUAUUGACACUGAUGGACGAAAGCGUGGGGAGCGAACAGGAUUAGAUACCCUGGUAGUCC
rnacentral:rRNA from 1 species